CAGUAAUGACAAAGAUCAGGCUUUCUCCUGUGGCCACUGGAACAAUUUAACAAUACACAGCAACAAAUAGGCAAUCUGUUUUGCAGGAAAACCUGUGUUGCUGUAUGAGAACUAUUGAGUCAUAGCCUGAAUCUCUGAUUGAUCACCUGAGGCAAGCACUGAGUUAGCCCUGGAAGCACAGGUGAAGGCAAUUCAGCUGUGCUACCAGAAGAGGUGGAGACUGGCUGUGCAUCUCCUAGACCCUAUUUAAGGGCUGAUUGUCACUGAGGAAGUUAAUUUUUUUUGGAGAUUCUGUUGUUUAGUUUUAUGUUCCUGUGAGUCUGGGACAGGGGUGUGUGUUUCAUUGUUUUUUGCUUGCAUUUUUUUACUGCAAUAAUUUUUCCUUUGAAGUAACUUGUAAAAUACCAGUUUGCUAAUUGUAUAUUGAUCAAGCAUACGUUUGUAAACUGUUGGGUUCUCUAAAGCUGUUCAGUUAUUUCUUCUGUAGUUGUGACUCAUUCCUCAGGAGCCAGAGUCCCUUUUGUUGUACUCUACAUGUGCUAAUAUUUUUGUGUUUCUGUGGUUUUUCAAGGAAAUUUGUGAAGAAUGAGAAAUGAAGUACUAAAACCUAUUAAUUUGGAAGGUGUUGUAGUAGAGAAAUUGGUUAUUGACCUUGAUUGUUGCAAGCAGAUGAAGCAGAUGUAUAAGCUGGAGAGCAUGCUGCAGUCGUACUGUCAUUCCCUUGGCUCUCUGACUGGAGCAAACAGGAGACAAUACGUGGAAGGAUGUCUUUAUGCUGAAAAAAGAGAGGAAGUGCAGUACUGGAGCACUUUUACUUGCAUGAAAAGAAAGGAACUCUGGUAUUUGCUUGGCUGACCUCAAAGCUGUCUGAUGAGAUUCAUCUUCUGCUGUUUUAAAGAAGUCAUGCAUCUCCCUCCCUCCUUAUUGAAACCUGCUCAUGCUGUAAAUAGUCACUGUCUGCUUAGUAAACUACAACAUCAGGUGUUUUAGUAGUUGUGAGGUGCUAUUUCUGUUUCUGUCGCUUACAUACCAUUAAGUAAUUUCAUUUACAAAUUGUAUCAGUCAGCAAAAUGGUUUGUAACAUCUAUUUCUGGAGGUGAGGAUUACAGUAGCAUUGUUGCUUAUGAUACCAUCAGAGCAAACUAAAUUUUAGCACCUUUAAGUAGCAUAUGAGCAAGUGUUAAUUCUUUAAAGAUGAUGAAAAGAAAAUUAGAAAUAUAGGUAGUACCUUUUCUAUAUCAAGUUCCUCUGUUUGAACUUACGUAUUUUUAAAUAGAAUCCCUUUGGUUGGCUUUCUGUGAGGAAAACUGGAAGUGGUUCGAUUGGGUGAAAUCUAGUGGAAAUGUGAUCCUGAUUAGAGGGGUGUGUGUGUAAUGGCAACCAGAGAAGACCAACCACUAACGAUGAGAAUGAGUUUCUUGGAUAUUUAGUAGUACAACAGGGAGAAUACUUCUAAAAUCAUAGGAUGAUGUGUAGCACAAACUGCUAAAUCAGGCAUUUUUUAUAUCACUCAUUCCAGUGCUUGGAGAGAUGUGCUUCAAGCUUUCUCUUCUGAAUUUAUUUAAUUCUUGAAGCAUUAUCCAAAUUAUUUAUUGACAUUAUUUCCCUGUGUUUUCAUCUUCUCUCAUAAACAGUCAGUCACAGUGUAAUUAUAAACACCUUGAUUUUAAUACUUAAUAAACAGAGGCAUAAAGAUGUAAUGGACA
ensembl:lncRNA